rnacentral:rRNA from 1 species
UACAGAGGGUGCAAGCGUUGCUCGGAUUUACUGGGCGUAAAGCGUACGCAGACGGAUCGCCAAGUCAGGAGUGAAAGCCCUGGGCUCAACCCAGGAACGGCUUUUGAUACUAGUGGUCUUGAGUUUGGGAGAGGGAAGCGGAAUUCCUGGUGUAGAGGUGAAAUUCGUAGAUAUCAGGAGGAACACCGGCGGCGAAGGCGGCUUCCUGGCCCAAUACUGACGUUCAGGUACGAAAGCGUGGGGAGCAAACAGG